UACAGAGGUGGCAAGCGUUGUUCGGAAUUAUUGGGCGUAAAGAGCUUGUAGGCGGUUUGUCGCGUCUGCUGUGAAAUUUCGGGGCUCAACCCCGAACUUGCAGUGGGUACGGGCAGACUAGAGUGUGGUAGGGGAGACUGGAAUUCCUGGUGUAGCAGUGAAAUGCGUAGAUAUCAGGAGGAAUACCGAUGGCGAAGGCAGGUCUCUGGGCUGACACUGACGCUCAUGCACGAAAGCGUGGGGAGCAAACAGG
rnacentral:rRNA from 1 species